rnacentral:misc_RNA from 1 species
UUGAUAGGAAAUGGGGUUAAGACUAACAAGGGUUUUAAGGAAAUCCACCUUAACUCUGUUGCUAAAAAUGUCUCUGAGUUCUGUGGCCAAGAAGUAACAGGCCAACAAGUGUACAAUCACCUUCGUAAGUGGAGGUCUAGGUGGGUCAAGGUUUGCAAACUGAAGGACAUUAGUGGUGCUCUUUGGGAUGAGGAUAACUUUGUCAUAAGCUUAGAAGAGGGUCAUUAUGCUGCUUACAUCAAGGAUCACCCAAAAGAUGUUGAUUACCUCAAUAGGCCCAUAGAGAACUAUAUGCUUAUGCAAAUCAUAUUUGGAAGUGGGGUUGCCAUAGGUAAGUUUGCAAUGGGUUCAAAUGAGCCUUUGGGCAAGCCAACUGACAUUGUUGACAUCCUAGAUGAUGGCAUUGAAGUGACCUCAAAGUUUGUUGAUUGUUCCAACCUAACUAAUAAGGGGAAGACUGUGGACAAGGGUACCCCUGGUGAGUCCAAUGAUAACAAGCCUAACUUAGGGAAGAAGAAGAGGUUCAUGACUGAUGAGGAUGUUGUUGUGUUCAAUGGGAUGAAAGAAGUUGUUUCGGAUGUUGCUACUGUUGUCCAUGAAAGCAUCCAUGUUGAAGCAGCACCUGGGAUCUAUAAUGCUGUAAUCAACUGUCCUGGGUUCUCUGGGGAGGCUCUCAUGUAUGCCCUUAACCACAUGAUGGAGCACAAGGCCACAUCCCUAGUGUUCCUGGACAUGACUCCUGAUGAUUGUGACCUAUGGCUCAAGACUUUCCUAGCCAAGCACUACCACAUCUGA